UGCUUUGAGCAGUGGCUGUGUCACAGCCACUAAGGUUUCUCUGAGAUGCAAUCACUGCUGUUGAAAACUACCCCACACCAUGAUGACUUGAAAACACAGUCAGCACUGGAAAGUUCUAACAGUCUCUACAGAGA